GAAUUUACUGUCGGGUUUUAACGUUACCAUCUCUUCUCCUUAAGAUCUUGUGCAGGCUGCUGUCACUGGACACGUCUGUUAUGGGGAGUCAGCAGAAAGAUAAUGAGCCCUCGACUUCAUGACAGGUGGAGCUGGAAUGCAGGAAACCCAGAGACUGCCAGCGAUACUCUGCUGAAGCAUUUUGGAAAAGGAGCGAGUGACCAAACAAAACACAGAAAGACGGACGAGAUGAAGGGCUCAGGGACGGGCUCAGGAUGAUCGUAGCCCAGCCCGUUGCCGAUGGGGAAGUGAGCCCAGAAGGUCCGAGCCAGGUCCUCCAUCCCCUCGUAAGCCGCCCGAGCUCGCAUCUCCUCG